CANUGGGGGAAACCCUGNAUGCAGCGACGCCGCGCUGGAGGAAGAAGGUCUUCCGAUUGUAAACUCCUGUUGUUGAGGAAGAUAAUGACGGUACUCAACAAGGAAGUGACGGCUAACUACGUGCCAGCAGCCGCGGUAAAACGUAGGUCACAAGCGUUGUCCGGAAUUACUGGGUGUAAAGGGAGCGCAGGCGGGAAGACAAGUUGGAAGUGAAAUCCAUGGGCUCAACCCAUGAACUGCUUUCAAAACUGUUUUUCUUGAGUAGUGCAGAGGUAGGCGGAAUUCCCGGUGUAGCGGUGGAAUGCGUAGAUAUCGGGAGGAACACCAGUGGCGAAGGCGGCCUACUGGGCACCAACUGACGCUGAGGCUCGAAAGUGUGGGUAGCAAACAGGAUUAGAUACCCUGGUAGUCCAAGGGCGAAUUC
rnacentral:rRNA from 1 species